rnacentral:rRNA from 1 species
GAUGAACGCUGGCGGCGUGCCUAAUACAUGCAAGUCGAGCGAACGGACGAGAAGCUUGCUUUUCUGAUGUUAGCGGCGGACGGGUGAGUAACACGUGGAUAACCUACCUAUAAGACUGGGAUAACUUCGGGAAACCGGAGCUAAUACCGGAUAAUAUUUUGAACCGCAUGGUUCAAAAGUGAAAGACGGUCUUGCUGUCACUUAUAGAUGGAUCCGCGCUGCAUUAGCUAGUUGGUAAGGUAACGGCUUACCAAGGCAACGAUGCAUAGCCGACCUGAGAGGGAGAUCGGCCACACUGGAACUGAGACACGGUCCAGACUCCUACGGGAGGCAGCAGUAGGGAAUCUUCCGCAAUGGGCGAAAGCCUGACGGAGCAACGCCGCGUGAGUGAUGAAGGUCUUCGGAUCGUAAAACUCUGUUAUUAGGGAAGAACAUAUGCGUAAGUAACUGUGCACAUCUUGACGGUACCUAAUCAGAAAGCCACGGCUAACUACGUG